rnacentral:lncRNA from 1 species
CUAUUCAGACCUUAGAGGAUAUGUUACGGGCUUGUGUCAUUGACUUUAUUGGGAGUUGGGACAAACACUUGCCAUUGGUGGAGUUUGCUUAUAAUAACAGCUUUCAGUCUAGUAUUGGGAUGGCACCAUACAAGGCUUUGUAUGGAAGGAAGUGCCGAACUCCGCUCUGUUAGGGUGAAGUAGGUGAGAGGAAAUUGGUGAAUGUGGAAUUUGUCAUGACCCGAAACUCCCCAUCGAGCCCGUGACAACCGUCGCGAAGCCUCGACAAACAUUCUUCACCCCGAAUGUCGAUCGAAACCUCGCAAGGCUCUCGUAUCAGCUUUCGCACUUCCUCGGUGAGCAAUAGUUAUCAAAUAAUCAAAAUACGAAGGAUUACAAAUCAUUUCCAAAUCAUAACAUAACAUAU